GAAUAUGCUUUAGGCAUUGUAAUAAUAAUGUUGAAAAUAGCAGCUAAAUUUUAGUUAACCCUUUCCCGGCUUUAGCCGUCAUAUGACGGCAGCGGUAGUGAUAAUUUUCAAAAAAUCGUUGUGGGCGCUGUGUUGGAGCUAUGCGCACGCUGUAGGUACCAGCACAUGCGCAUUGGGCUGCUCUUUCACAUGGUAUCUUUAAUAUCUUGCCUCGAGGUACGCUUUGUGCAGUACUGUCGAAAGAAAAGUGACCGUUUGAUAAUGGCUUCAAGAUCUUUGUAGUACAACCUCAGCGAGGUUGUACUUAGGGCAGCUAGACAGUGAGAAUAACGAUACUUAUGGCCUUGUUGAGUAAGAGGAUAGUGACUGGGAUCAUACCAAGAGAGGAAACUACUUCUCAGAGGUCAAGCUAUAAACAUAGAGCCUGAAGAGCCGGAGGAAGAAGCUCCUGAGCAUGAACCAAAGUCCUGGACCUUGUGAAGAAAACAUUUCCCGGGAAAAGAGCGUCUGCCGAUACGACCUCGCAGAGAAGUUUCUGCUGAUCCUGAUUGAACCAUGUCACCGUGAGAACAUUGAGAACACUUACUUAGUGUUUUUAGUUACUUCAUGCCUUCAUACAAUAUUCUUUAUGUUCAUAA